GACGUUUGGAAUAGUGAAACGGUCGGGUGGCUGCUGAGAACGUGAAAAAAUUCAUUUAUUCAGUUCCUUCUUCAAUUGCCAGUUAGCCAGACGAUUAAAUUAAAAAGGGGGGAAAUGGCGCAAACUGUUAACAGAACGCGUGGAGGAUUUAAUUAAGCAAUAAAAUUGACCAAAGCAGUGGAAAAUAAUUAAUUGUAGAUAAAUUGAAAGUGUUUUAAAAGUGCUCCGCACGAGAGGGGGAGUUCACAAGCAACAAUAAAGUGAAAGGAAGUGCGGUAAAGAAACGAGAAAAGCAUCGAUUGAAAUGGACAGACGAAAAAAAGAAAAAAUUAAAUGUGCAGAGUGUAAGCCAGAAAGAAUCAAAUAGUAUUGAACUGGAGAAUGGUAUGCAAUGGAAGAGCAGAAAAGGCGAAAAGUGCAAAACGUAUAUGAGAAGAAUGCAAAA